UACCGAGGGGGCAAGCGUUAUUCGGAAUUAUUGGGCGUAAAGGGCGCGUAGGCGGCCUGGCAAGUGGAAGGUGAAAUCCCUCGGCUUAACCGAGGAACUGCCCUCCAAACUGCUUGGCUUGAGUCCGGGAGAGGUGAGUGGAAUUCCCAGUGUAGCGGUGAAAUGCGUAGAUAUUGGGAGGAACACCAGUGGCGAAGGCGGCUCACUGGCCCGGUACUGACGCUGAGGUGCGAAAGCGUGGGGAGCAAACAGG
rnacentral:rRNA from 1 species